GACCCUUUCUGUCCUUCAAUAAUAAAUAAAUGUUAAAAAAAGGAAAAAGACCACACCACAACCUUAGAGUUUACUGUCUUCUGCUGGAAGUGUUCUGUUAUCAGUGGAUCCAUGAAACACACACCACGGCCUGGUGACAGAGCACCUUCAGAUCAGGGGUAGGGUAGGGUAGCUGGAGGGUGACCGGUUCCCUCUGCUGACUUUCCCUGGUGAAGGCAAUGAAAUCUUAGACCCGAAGCCUGGGCAGGAAUACCAUUGGCUUCAUUUACAAAGCUCCUGCCGGGGCUCUGGGCACAUGAUAAGCACUGAGCUGGGCCUCACGGCCACGCUAAGAGGCACAGACUCUUCCACUCAACAGAUACAGGGGGCAGCGGUAUGACAAUUUUCUCAGACAUUCCCAAAGUUACUCGGCCAGUAAGGGGCCAAAUCCUGUGACUCCAGGAGUCGGCCCUUGGCUGCUGUGCUCUACUGCAUGUGGUCCAGAGACCUGGUGACUGCAGGUGAGUGCAAGGGCCCCCUGAGGUCCUGGACUCCCUGCUGGCUCACCAGGACAGUGUAGCAGGCCCCUUUGACUCACUGCCUUUGACAAGGCUGAGGGGAGGCCCUCAGCCAGAUUCAUAGCUAUUUAGCACUCCCUUCUGUUGGUCAUUGUCUCCCUCUCAGCACCCAGAACUUUCUUCUCCUAGCAUGGUUUGCCCCUGCAUUAUUUACCUAUGCCCAUGUUCUACUAAGGACCACUGACUGUUUCCCAUGUGUGAAACAUGAGGCCUUUUGGUGGCGGGGAGGGGUCAGCGGGGCCACCUGAUUUGAGGCCCCAGCUCGAGGGAGAAGUCUGGCGAGGAUGAGGCUUCAUCACAAGCGCUGAUCUCCCUUGCAAAGUCCAUCUUCUAAAUCUUUCUGUAGGAAUCAUAAACUCGAAGAAGAAAACAAGAAGGGAAAAAAAUUCCCAGCAGACAACGUUAAGUGAAAAGCCUCUGUGUAGAGGCUGUCACACCCCUGCCCAGGGCUGUGAUGUGAGUCUGUGCAAACUGUCCCCAGUAUAGCUGCAGGGGACACCAUUCGCAUCAAAGUCUACGUGAGUCAGACCAUUGGUUCUUAAACGUGGUGGCACAUUGGAGUCACCUGGGAAGCUUUAAACAUUAUUGGCAUCUUGGUCCCUCCUCUAGUGUCUGAUUUAGUUGCUCUGAGAUGCAGCCUGGGCUUUGGAAUUUUUCAAACUGUUCAGGUGGCUCUAAUAUGCAGCCAUGUUUGAGAACCACUGACUUAGACUGUGCUGUGAAUGGCGUCCACCUGGGGGGUGUGGGGUGUACAAUCGGCUAGCCCUUCAAAUCGGUCCUGCCCACACACAUAUGCCAUCUUCAAUGACCUUAACUUGCUAGUAGGGGAGAUCACAGACGAAAUACAUACUUUUCUGCCUUUUGAGUCCCAGUUUCCCUUGGGUUGCGAUUGAGGCUGAGGAGAACAUAAGUACCGACCUCUGAGUCUUUGAAGGCUCUCUUCUACUUCUUGCAUCCUUCUGAGGGAUGAGGGAGAGGCAGGGGUCUAAUCCUGCUGAAAACAGGGAGUUUGUCAAGCCCAGUUUUGGAGGCUGCACAACUCUGGUGCUCUGCCCAGGGCAAGCAUGCUGUUUUGAUCGCCUGGCUGAGUGAUUUAGGCCCUCGGAAGAAUCUGGCUUAUUUCCCCCGGUGCCUAUGUUAUAAAUCAGCCACCGUUAGCAGCUGCAUUUUAUUCUCUGGGGCCACAAGGAAACUGUAGUCAUUUUUACUGAAUUAGCAACUUAAUUGCACUAAAUAUAGCUCUAAUGCCCCAAAGAAGUUAUGGCAGCUCCCAAAGGUGUCUGGCUUCCUACACUCUCCCCUCUCCCUCCCCACCACAAACUCAGGGAGCAAGUUAAACUCCGAAGAACUCAAGUCCUUAAAUCCUAGCUUCUGGAAUGAACGCACUUUGUUUUGAUUAUGUCAAUACCAUUAAAUCCUGCCAUGUGAAUUUAAUGUCCCUGUUUCCAUAACAACUAAUGUCCUUCAAAUGUGAGGAUGGGUUACACUGAAAAUCCCACAAAAACUGAGAGAAACGAGACAAAUAUGUGACACAGCAAGUCCUUGGUGUUGUGGUUCAGUCAAAGCUUGCCUGUUGUACAACUUAGAUGCUCUGUAACUCAUUGAUGCUUCCCUGCUGAUGAGUGCAUCUGUCGUUCUGAAAUUAUAAGUCAAGCUUCUUUGGCCGAAACCUUGCUUCUGGCAUGUGUAUUUAUACUUGGCAUUUCAAAGUUAAUAUUUUGGGUUCAGCAGAGGGAUUCAAAACAAACGUUUUCUGAAACGUUCCAAAUUCUUGAGCAGAUAGUUGAAUCUAAACCGAAGCGAGUGAGCGAGAGAGAGAGAGAACCAAGUAUGGAAGAGGCUGCAGUUGCUUGCCCAGUAUCCAUUCUACAAGUUUCCCCCUUGUAAUAGAACAACAGUAACAGCGAACAGCUGUGUUUCCCAGAAUUCCUUUACAGCUUGGUGAAGCCACAGGACCACAUUCCGGUCGAUGGGGUGAAGGUUUUAAGAGAAUCGAAUCAGGUGUGAGGCUGUGCAUUGGUCAGGUCUGGGCUGAAUCCACCCCAAACCCAAGGAGCCUGGAGGAAUUUUGGUAACCAUGAAGAUGCUGUCUCCUCUGGAAUCUUCCAGACUUCAUAAGAGCCGGGUGUUCGUUGUGCAGAGGGCUCUGCAUGAGGCCUUUGGUGAAUGCCAAGUGGUGUGAGUUGCGUUCUGCAGACAGCACCCUGGUUAUCUCAACGGGCAGGGACACUACUGAGAACUAGGUGGGAAGCUUUCUUUGUUGAUAAAAGGAGUCUACCUGACAACGGUUACUACGAGGAGCUUCUGUUUGGGGGAGAAACAUCAGCCGCCUGGGGUGCAGGGUUUCAGCCAGGCCUGCUCCAGGGAUCCAACAGUAAACAAGGCCCAUGAGGCGCUCCAGAGGUCAGAAGCUGAAAACAGACACCCACAACCAGCUCUUCACAAACAAGAGUCUUUAUUUUUAUGAUGUACCCCGCCCUCUGUCAAAAAAAAAAAAAAGUGGGGAGAGCAUUAUUUAAAUGGCUGGUUUUGUAGCAAAGAGCUUGAAACUCAGAUCAGUGCCCGGCACAGUGGAGCCAAAGGGAAAGGAUUGAUUGAUCGCAGGCUCUGGGAAGCCCUCCACCUCUGCAGGACCCCUCCCUCUGGAGUUCUGUAGAAGGGAGGAAACACACACCCAGAUUGCACAAGAGAUCCAGUCCUUGGUUGGCCCAAAUGGAUCAAGAAGAAGUCCCAGGAGCUCUGUGAAAGCUUCUUCCCCUUGGUGGCUGGGCCUCACUUCACAGGCCUAGAUAAUCCCUCUCCUGCCCUGUCAAGAUCCUGAGGUGUUAUCAGUCUGUCCAGCCAAAAGGCCCAGCCCAAGUCGGCUCCCAGGAGAAGUUUCCACACAACAUUACAUUCUUCAGAAACCUGUCUCCUUUGAUUAACAAGGCCUUUUAGCUUUCUUUUGAAUUCUAUAUAGAUGGCCAGAACGCACCCACACACGGUGUCCCGCUAAAGGCUGAGGGUGGAGAAGUGUCUCCUGGUGUUGGGGUAACCUAGAUCUGAGCUUUGCCAGCAAAGUCAAUGUUACACCCUAUGUGACACUGGGUUUACCCUAGCCAGUAAGUGUUCAGAAUCAUUAUCACAGCUCCCUCCUCAUUAAGAGCAUUCAAUGGCUUUCCAGUUGCUCUGCCGACACAGACUAAAAUGGCUGACAAGGCUGACAAGGCCCUAAAGGUUCUGGCCUGGGCACCGAAACUUUGAGCACGUUCCCAAAGCCAGGGCCACUUUGCACACUGAUAAUCUCAGGGUGGAUAGCAUAGCAGGGGCCGGACAGACUCUGAUUCACUAGCCCCACAUCACAGUCCUCCAUUCAUCCCUCAUAAGAUACUGACAGAAAGAAUGAUAAAAGGCAAAUAUCCGGAUGACAAACUAAAAACUCUUCCAGUCAAAGAGACCGAGCACAGACUCAGUGUUGGAAUCCAAAAGCCAUUCAGUGGGUUUUCUAUCAUGCUGGCACCUGCAACCCCCGAGUGAAGACAGAGACCAUGGUGUCUUGAAGCAAGAGAGCAGGUGGAUGUAAUUCUCGGGUAGCAGAAGGCCCCUCUAUUUGGUGCCCUGCAGUAGCAGAGGAAUACUGUUUACACAGCCUGUAAGGUGCCCCCUUAAUACUGCCUCCCGCUUAGGGGGGAUUGCCAGGCAUCUCCCUCCUUCUCUUUGGGUAUCAGCUACUGUUCCCUCAGCUACCAGGACAGUCCUCAGAGGUCAAGAGACAUCCGUCACAAAGCUUUCCUGCGUGAACAGUGCUCCCUGGGGUUCUGCAAGGCAGGGGCCUUGACUUCACUUCCUCAAGCAAGCCCUCAUGAUCCUCCUGACCGGUCCAGAGCUAUGAGACCCCUCCUGGAUGUCGGAGAGUAGUUGAUCAGAUCUGUCUCCCCUCCUAGACUAGAAGCUCUGCUCUUCUGUUGGUGGGCUUUCUCACUGUUCUAUCCCCACUUGGCCCAUGUCCUACCAGGGAGUAGAAGUUGAAUGAACAAGUUCUCAUUUUCCCACCCCCUGACUGUUCCAGGCCUGCCACCCACCUCGAGCUCCUGACACUCUGAUGCACAGUCUUCGGAGGCAGCGAUGACCUCUGUGUUGGCACUUUUUCUCUUUCUUGGAACAGGGAUGGUGCUGAGUAAUUUUGUUGCCUGGAGCUAAAAACUCCCCAAGGCCACUUCCCUGCGUGUGGGACUCGUGGCAUCACUGAGAUAAAUCGGCUUUCCUGCCUGGCCUGCUUCUACACAUGGACACCCUUUCCAAACAUCUUUUUGUGAUUUGACCUUCCCUUGAUGCUCAUUAUAACUGAAAUCCAGGAAUAUAGAGUUGUGGGAUGGGGGAGGAUGAGCAGAGCAAGGGGUGAGGGAAGCAGGCACGCAGGGCUCCAAGUGUCAUUGCCAGUAGGCAUGCCACAGGUGAUGCUCAGCUGUGUCCCUGUCCCCAGACUUCCUCCCCAGAACCAGUGGCUCUCAGUUAGGAAUCCAGUAUUUCAUGACUAUUGUUUCUGUAAACAGAAUCACUUUUUUCCAUUACUUUCUAUCAUCACACAUCAAAACGAAUUCUCAUAUAAAAAGGUUUUGUUCCUAAGAUAUAAUACAGAUCACAAUAAUAAUAAACCAAGCAUAUUUUAAUCAUAUCCUUGGAAAAUGAGAUGUUUUUGAUAAAAAUUAGUAAAAAUCAUGAACAUGGUACCAAAACGUUAAGGAAUUGCUGAAUCCUGUCUUCCUCUGGGAUGAGCCUCCCUUAUCUCGAGUGACAGGAAAAUAUUUUCUUUUAAAACUCAAUGGUCGUAACUGUCUCUUCUAAAGUCUUCGAUCCGUGGUGGUGGUUUAUUACCCAGUUCAGAUUCAGGGAGAUUAAAGCCACCAACUUCUUUUAUAUAGAAGAUGAGCUUCUGUUGACCAUAAAGAUUGUUUCCAUGAUCCAUGAUUUUCCGGGUAUGGACACGAGGCUCUAUUUUGUCUAAUUGAGCAGAACUCAUCAACAGGUGCUUAUAGAAGCACCCAUGUUCUGUUGGUCCCUGGGCCCAGGUGGCUUGCGUCCAGCAGAGAUCCUAGCCUGGGUGGACCCAUCAAGCUUUAGCCUUGCCAGUAGUCCUUGUGACCCAGUGAUAACUUAAGGAUUUAUUGACAUCAUUAUCCUAUUAUUAUUUAUUUUGUAUGGUUAUUAUUUUAUUUUGUAGCCAGCUACCUAAUACUUUUUGAACAGGAGACGUUAUUUUACUUUAUUCAGCUGUUAAAAUGUUUUGCAGCCGUUAAGAUACCCAGAGCCCUCAGGGGACGCCGGAUGGCAACCGAGUUGUUUGGGGAUCUGCAAACCCCCUUUGAGGGGCUGAGAACCGGCCCUGGGAAAUCUCCAGUGACAUUAUGUGCAAUGAAAACAUCCAACUUCCACCUUGCAGCUGUUCAAGAAUAUUUACCAUUGAAACUUGACAAAUACUUGGUGACUAAGCCAACUUUGUGAGCCUUUUGUCAUUAAGAUGCAGUUACAACGACAAAGGAAAGCUAAUCAACUAAAACUACAUACUUCCAAGAAACAGCUCAGCCACAUCUAUAGAGCAGACCCACCUUCUUCUGAGGCAGUCAUGACACUGACCUUGCAGGAAAUUUCAGGUAGUGUUUUAUUUGCUCGUUUGGUUGUGGUUUAUGAUUUUAUAGAAAUGGAAUCACGUUAAUCUUCGGCUCUUUUUUUUACCUAGCAGCUCAUACCGUCUUUCCCAAAUCCAUACAGUUUAUUUUUAAUAUUCUGACGAAAAGGACUGCUUGUUACGGUUACAGCUGAGCAUUUCUCCAACAAGAUAUAUCAAGAUAUGAAAUUGAGAUCAAGGAUUAAGCUCAUUUUUUGCCACAGUAAUAAAAUCCAUAACCUGAAUAAGAAUCCAGGGUAAAAAAAAAACAUUUAAACUUUGGUAGAGGCACUGUUGUGGCAAGAGUGUGGGAAAACCGACAACUUUAAAUUGUGAGAACCUAACUCGGUACAACGUCUUUUUUUUUGGAACAGAGUGAUUUGGCAAUAUCUAUUACAAUUGAAAAUGCACAUACAGUUGAAUUCAAGAAGAUGCAAGUAUUUUCUUCUAGUAAUGUAACCUACAUAUAUAUUUUACACGAAAGAGUGUCUUAGCAGAAUAGACAAUGAAUGUCUGCACUGUCAGUGCACAGCCUGCUUGGGAUUCUCUCUCUCCCUCUCUCUCUGCCCCUCCCCACCCGUCCCCCUCCCCACAAAAGAGCGAGCAGGUCUAUAAGAACAGGUAUGAGAUGAUCUUUAAGAUGUGUUGUAUACUGUUGUAUAGUAUGUUUACUAUGCUACCAUUUGCAAGGAGAAAGUGGUAUAUGCUUGUCACUGAAUGUAUGUGCUUAAAAUAUCACUGGAAGGAUACACAAUAAAUUGGGAAAGAGAAGUGGCUGGGUGUUCCAGUUAUCUGUGUAUAGCAAACAGUGAUCUAUAUAACAAGCCACCCCCAAACAUUGUGGCUUGAAACACAAUUCCGUAGGCUGACUGAGUUUUGCUGGGCAGUCUGCUAGGAAUGCAGCCAUCUGUCAGCCCAAGACUUACAGACUGAGCUCAACAUCCAAGAUGGUUCACUCACACGGCUGGGAGUUCUGCUGGCUGUUGUUAGGAGCUCAGCAAGGUUGUUCACCAGAGCUCCUACCUGUGGUCUUUCCAUGUGAUUUUUUCCAGCACGGUGCCUGGCUCUCAAGAGGGAGUGUCCUAAGAGUGAGCAUUCCAUGGGUCCCAGGUGGAAGCUGCAAGGAUCUUACGACCUAGCUUGGAAGUCUCAGAAUAUCACUUCCGUUUCAUUCUGUUGCUCAAGCAGACCACUAAGCCAAGCCAGAUACAAAAGGAAUGGAAUUAGAUUCUUCCUCUCUAUGGGAAGAGUGUCAAGGACACAGUGCAUGUGGAAUAGGAGAUAAUAUUGCCAUCCUCUGGAAAUACAAUCUUCCAUAGAGAGAUACUGACUUUUUUACCGUUUAGUCUGUGAUACUUCUUGAACCUCUGUCCACAUGGACACCCAAGUGGGUUUCAAGAUUUUAGAUCAACCGCAUUUGUAGUUGUUUAUGGUCGGUUAGUAACCUCAUCCUUCUUUACAGACAAGUUCUCGGGGGGACUCAUGGGGGUUACACUGUCACAGCUCUCAGUAACAUCAAGUUCUGAAUUGUCCUGAGUUUCUUGCACAUUUUCACUGCUUGUCAGGCUUACCCAUCAAACUUCCUGUUUUUAACCACCAACCCACAGUCUUAGUUAAAAAUUGUAAUUUUGAAAUGAUUAUAGUUCAAAGAGAUCAAUGAAAAGUGGCACUGAAACCACAAAAACAGAGUUAUCAGAGAACUCUUGUGGGAAGUGAAACUAAGCAUGGUCAUGCAUUUGUUACCAAAACAUUUGAUUUCAGCACAUUGUGGUGGGAAGGAAACUGCUUUGUGGAGACUGUGUGUGUGUGUGUGUGUGUGUGUGUGUGUGUGCGUGAGAUAUCAAAUGCCUGGAACCUCACCCUUGAGAGAGAGGACUCUGCACUUAAAUAAAUGUCAGGUGUCUAUAAAUCAGUUGGAGGUGGAUAUUUGAAGGAAAUCUCAAUAUUAAGAAUUAUCUACUAGCCAACUUGUUUCAUUUACUUGAAUUAUGUCUGUGACCGCAGUUUAUAGUCCUCUUUUACAAUUAAAAAAAAAAAAAACCAUGGUGGUUGAAUCAUAGCUAUAUAGUAGUCAUGCAGAAAAUCAAAAUUGUCCCUGUGUAUUUUACUUUAAGAAUCACCAAAUAUGGAGGGGGGGGGCGGUGAGGAUCGCUGUCGUAUGGACUCUGAGCAUUCAUCCCAGCCUCUUGCUUGAGUUUCCUAAUACCCAUGUGAGGGGCACUGCCUCAGUUUUACAGGUGAUUAAUCUCAGCCACAGGAAAGGGUGUUAUCUGACCAACCAGCAGGGCAGGAGGGCAAUCUGUUUUCCUAAACUGUUUUUAAACCGCUCUUCCAUGAAGGGCACGCGCCUGCUGACGAGCGAUCCCUCUGUGUUCCUGAGCCAGGCUGGGUCUGCUGAGGGUCACUGAGACAGGCGGUUCUUGGGAUGUUCUCUCCGACAACCUUUACAUUUCUUUUUUCGACUGAACUGAAUGUUACCUUGGUGGUGCUAGAAUGUAAGUCACAGCCACCGACAUUUCCAGCAGGCAAUAAGGUGGGCCCCCCUAGGGGCAGAGCUCAAGGCCUGAGGAUCUUCUGAAUGGGGUAGGUCUGCACCAGGCAGUAGCUCCCUUCCAAAUUUGGAAAUUUAGGUACUUGUGUUUACAGCCAUAAGAAGUUCUGGGCUCUUAAGGGAGCCGUGUAAUUAGAUUACACUCACCUGGAUAAUCCCUUUUUGCAUCAACUGUGUCAUAUAACAUAAUGUAGUCACAGGAAUGAUAUCCCAUUCACAGGUUCAGGGGGAUAAAGGGUAUGGAAUCUCUUGUGGGAGCAGGAAGGGCAUUUUUAGAAUCCUGCCUACCACAUUCUGGUUCUGCUGCUGGGAGUCAAGAGAGCAUUUAAGAACAAGUGAUCAGAUGAGAAUGACUCUCCUGGGGAUAUGUUUUCCCAGGCUUCGUUGGCAUUAAUUGCUAAGUAGGUUUAGGUAACAUUUGCAGUGGGUCUUAUGGUCCUUAACGUGUACAAUUUACCCUCAGGCCAUGGUUCUCACAGUGUGGGCGCAGGACCAGCCUCAUCAGCAUCAUCUGGGACCUUGUCAGAAAUGCAAAUUUCGGGUCGCGUCCCAAACCUACUCAAUUAGACGCUCUGGGUUUGUGGUCCUGAGAUGUGUGUCGUAACAGGUGAUUCUGAUGCUACUCAAUUGAGAACUAUUUUUCUAAAGAGCAGAAAUAGUUAAGGCCUGGAAGAGGGUCAGGAUGUGCCUCUGUGAGGAAGCGUGUCAGGAACUCUCCCGGUGGGAUGCGGAUGCUGGCCUGGUCCUCUUCAGCCCCAGGAAGAGGAGUUAGAGCUUGCCGAUACGUGCGCUAUUCGAGAUGGAGAAACCAAGGCUCAGAAGCAUGAAUUCUUUGGUUCUGAGGUGUCACGGCCAUCAGGGGCAGAAACUAGUUUUAACAAGAGAGGUUGAUCAGCGCCGGUCCAACUCAUACCUUCUCCUCCUGGAAGCUACCCCACGCUGCACGAAGACAGUAGCCCUGCUGGCCACCAGACGACCUAGCCCUCCUCCUCUGGAGGUGGGCAUCUGAUGCAAGGGCAGCCUUUCCACAGAUAGGGGGAAGGCUGGCCCACCAUCCUGGUUUGUGUUGGACUGGGGGGGUUCCCAGAAGGCAGGACUUUCAGUGCUAAUUCCAGAAAAGUCCUGAGCCAACUAGGACAAGUUGUUCACUCAGGCGGGAAGGGACUUAUGACCUGUGAGCUCGGGUUCCAAACCACAGAACAGGCAAUCAGCUUCUCAGAAACUGGGAAACUAAAAGACUGGGCCUAUCACCUGAAAUAGAAGGGCCCUGAUAUAGAAAAAGGACAAGGAGAGUUGAAGAGCUGCCGUGUUGAUCACAUGGAAACAAAACUUACGAGCCGAAACCCUGAGCAAGUAGAGGACACUGACUGUAUUUUAGGAAAACUGACUUUCAGUAGCUUCUUCCUUAAAAACCACCGUGGCCAAUUGCAGAUCCUUGUGGAGACUCUUUCCAGAUGCUUCUGUUUGCUGCUGCUGCUGCUGCUGCUGCUGCUUUCAUUGCCAAGGAAAGGGCUACAGCAGACUCUUCCGUAUUAAAGCAAGUGCCCUCCAGAUCAUGCUGCCUGUCUUCCGAAUUGAAACGAAAUGAGCAAAAUCCAGCACACUUAGAAAUUUCAAGUUGGGAAACCCCAGAGGGACUCUUCCUGACUCCCACCUCACAUUUUUGGAGCUCAGGAAGCUCUUAAUCAGCCAAAGCUGAGGUAGCAGACUGUUCUUCCCAAAGAGAGCCGUGACAACGUUUCCCAUCUCUCAUCCUCUUCUUACGUUAUUUGACACCCUGUGGCUACUGUGAAUGUUGGCUGCUGAUGGCUCACAGCUGAUCCCCAGUCCAGAGACUUGCCCUUGGCCCAUGGGAGCCUUCUCUCCCAGAGGAAUAUGCCGACCCCCAAGGGAACACCCAGCCCAAGCCAAGCUGACACAGGGGUACAAAAGGCCAGCCUCACUGCGUCACAGAGGACCAAUCCAGUGGCACGAUUCUUGCUUCACUACUUGGUGGGAUCAGGCUGUCUCUCGUCUCCAGCUGAGGCCACAUCCUUGCUGAGCGUCCCCCCCACCUUGCACCCCUUUUUUCUUUCCUCACUCCUUUCCCCGUGUAAGUACUUCCUUAACUAAGAAUCCCCCACUCAAGGGUAUUUCUGGAGAUCCCAACCCAGGACACGCUUCCGGGGAAAGUAACAAUGGUGCACUUUCGACUGAAAUCUAUGUGUGAUUUUUUCGUGAUUGGC